GCACCUUUUGCAGAUAACAGGAGGCGGCUUACUUUAGAAUGCUUGUAGUAACUGCAAACUGUAACAGAAGGAAAGUGGAAAACUAAUUCUAGCAGUAGCGCCUCACCACUCCGUCUACUGGGAACGCCAGAUGGUCCAGCUGUUGCCUCAGCCCGCGUGGGAAUUGAUAUCUUAGGCUGCGGUCACAAUGGCCAGCAUCUCGGUAGCUUCCGCUGACUACCGACAACCGCCGAAGACGUCCGAUCUGUACGCCUUAACGUGGGGCGGUCACAAGGUAUAUAAUGUCUGCAGUCCUGGUUACGCAUUGAAAUCGUCACGCCACAAUGCCGUAGGACGCCACUAUAGCAGUGGUUCUCAAACUCUUCCCCUGACGGAACACUGCAAAUCAUGGCACUUUCAUGGAACUUCUUGUUUAUUUUAAAGAUUAAUAAAAUUUUAAAA